rnacentral:rRNA from 1 species
UGGGGGAUAUUGCACAAUGGGCGAAAGCCUGAUGCAGCGACGCCGCGUGGGGGAUGAAGGCUUUCGGGUGUAAACCUCUUUCGCUAUCGAACAAGGCCCGCUUAGGGUGGGUUGAGGGUAGGUGGAGAAGAAGCGCCGGCUAACUACGUGCCAGCAGCCGCGGUAAUACGUAGGGCGCGAGCGUUGUCCGGAAUUAUUGGGCGUAAAGGGCUUGUAGGCGGCUUGUUGCGCCUGCUGUGAAAACGCGGGGCUUAACUUCGCGCGUGCAGUGGGUACGGGCAGGCUUGAGUGUGGUAGGGGUGACUGGAAUUCCAGGUGUAGCGGUGGAAUGCGCAGAUAUCUGGAGGAACACCGAUGGCGAAGGCAGGUCACUGGGCCAUUACUGACGCUGAGGAGCGAAAGCAUGGGUAGCGAACAGG